UACGUAGGGGGCAAGCGUUGUCCGGAAUCAUUGGGCGUAAAGAGCGCGUAGGCGGUCCGGUAAGUCCGCUCUGAAAGUCCGGGGCUCAACCCCGGGAGGCGGGCGGAUACUGUCGGGCUAGAGUCCGGAAGAGGCGAGUGGAAUUCCUGGUGUAGCGGUGAAAUGCGCAGAUAUCAGGAGGAACACCAAUGGCGAAGGCAGCUCGCUGGGACGGUACUGACGCUGGAGGCGCGAAAGCGUGGGGAGCAAACAGG
rnacentral:rRNA from 1 species